UACGUAGGGUGCAAGCGUUAAUCGGAAUUACUGGGCGUAAAGCGUGCGCAGGCGGUGAUGUAAGACAGAUGUGAAAUCCCCGGGCUCAACCUGGGAACUGCAUUUGUGACUGCAUCGCUGGAGUGCGGCAGAGGGGGAUGGAAUUCCGCAUGUAGCAGUGAAAUGCGUAGAUAUGCGGAGGAACACCAAUGGCGAAGGCAAUCUCCUGGACCUGCACUGACGCUCAUGCACGAAAGCGUGGGGAGCAAACAGG
rnacentral:rRNA from 1 species